GAUGAACGCUGGCGGCGUGCCUUAGGCAUGCAAGUCGAACGGUUUCCGCAAGGAAGCAGUGGCAGACGGGUGAGUAACGCGUAGGAAUCUACCUCUGGGAGGACCAUAGCUUAUCGAAAGAUGGGGUAAUAGUCCAUAAUAUCGCAAGAUUAAAGGUCUUAACUGGCCGCCGAGAGAGGAGCCUGCGUCCUAUCAGCUUGUUGGCGGGGUAAAUGCCCACCAAGGCGAUGACGGGUAGCUGGACUGAGAGGUCGAUCAGCCACAACUGCACUGAGACACGGGCAGUACACCUACGGGUGGCAGCAACCAGGAAUAUUGGGCAAUGGACGCAAGUCUGACCCAGCGACGCCGCGUGGAGGAUGAAGGCCUUAGGGUCGUAAACUCCUUUUGAUAGUCCCUUCACGGACUAUAGAAUAAGCACCUACUAACUACGUGCCAGAAGUCUCGGUAAUACGUAGGGUGCAAGCGUUAUCCGGAUUCAUUGGGCGUAAAGUGUGCGUAGGCGGUUUGAUGGGUCUUCUCUUAAAGACCGAAGCCUAACUUCGGGAAUGGGGAAGAAACUAUCAAACUUGAGGAUUAUUAGGGAUACUGGAACAGUUAGUGUAGCAGUGAAAUGCGUUGAUAUUAACUGGAACACCAAGGGCGAAGGCAAGUAUCUGGGAUUUUCCUGACGCUGAGGCACGAAAGCUAGGGUAGCGAAACGGAUUAGAUACCCGUGUAGUCCUAGCCGUAAACAAUGUUCGCUAGCUCUUGCAAGCUUGCUUGCAGGGGUGUAAGCUAACGCGUUAAGCGAACCGCCUGGGGACUACGGCCGCAAGGCUAAAACUCAAAGGAAUUGACGGGGACCCGCACAACCGGUGGAGCGUGUGGUUCAAUUCGAGACAAAACGAAGAACCUCACCAGGGCUUGACAUACAAUCGUACAUUUCCCUGGAAACAGGGAGAAAUCCGCAAGGAUGAUUGCACAGGUGCUGCAUGGCUGUCGUCAGCUCGUGCCGUGAGGUGUUCCCUUAAGUGGGGAAACGAGCGCAACCCCCGUCCAAUGUUAAAUAUUCAUUGGAGACGGUCCCAUUUUUUGGGAAGGAAGGAGGGGAAGACGUCAAGUCAGCACGGCCCUUACGCCCUGGGCUACACACACACUACAAUGGCGAAGAACAAUGGGUUGCAACACAGCAAUGUGAAGCUAAUCCCUGAAAUUUCGCCUCAGUUCAGAUUGGGGGCUGAAAUUCGCCCCCAUGAAGUCGGAAUCGGUAGUAAUCGCGGAUCAGCAAGCCGCGGUGAAUACGUUCUCGGGUCU
rnacentral:rRNA from 1 species